GAUGAACGCUAGCGGCAGGCCUAAUACAUGCAAGUCGAACGGUGUCUUCGGACAUAGUGGCGCACGGGUGCGUAACACGUAUGCAACCUACCUUACAUUGGGGGAUAGCCUUUCGAAAGGGAGAUUAAUACCGCAUAAGACAGUAGUCUGGCAUCAGACAGCUGUUAAAGAUUUAUCGAUGUAAGCUGGGCAUGCGUCCAAUUAGUUAGUUGGCGAGGUAACGGCUCACCAAGACUAUGAAUGGUAGGGGAACUGAGAGGUCAAUCCCCCACACUGGCACUGAGAUACGGGCCAGACUCCUACGGGAGGCAGCAGUAGGGAAUAUUGGGCAAUGGACGCAAGUCUGACCCAGCCAUGCCGCGUGCAGGAAGAAGGCGUUAUGCGUUGUAAACUGCUUUUAUACAGGAAGAAACGACUCUUGCGAGAGGCAUUGACGGUACUGUAUGAAUAAGCACCGGCUAACUCCGUGCCAGCCGCCGCAGUAACAC
rnacentral:rRNA from 1 species